rnacentral:rRNA from 1 species
GUGGAUUAGAUACCUGGGUAGUCCACGCUGUAAACGAUGAGAACUAGGUGUCGUGGGUGUUGACCCCCGCGGUGCCGCAGCUAACGCAUUAAGUUCUCCGCCUGGGAAGUACGGCCGCAAGGCUAAAACUCAAAGGAAUUGACGGGGGCCCGCACAAGCGGUGGAGCAUGUGGUUUAAUUCGACGCAACGCGCAGAACCUUACCCAGACUUGACAUCUAUCAAACCCGGCCCAAAAGCUGGGGUGCCCGCAAGGGAAUGGUAAGACAGGUGCUGCACGGCCGUCGCCAACU